UCACUGCUGAAGUGUUCCACAAUAGGACGAAACGGCCGUCCAGUGC
rfam:Schistosoma mansoni strain Puerto Rico chromosome 4, complete genome